AGCGGUCUUCAGGGCGGGGUGUGAUUCCCCACCGGCGGUAAGCGGCGCGAGCCGCGAGCCCGCGAGCGCUUCCAGUCUCCCGUAGCCUGGAAGGUCAGCAGACUCAGUGCGAUGCUGAGGCCGACGGUGUUGGAAGGUUUUCCUUCCUCAGUCCGGAUGGAAGAAGAUUCGU
rnacentral:ncRNA from 1 species